GGAGGGGGAACAAAUAUCCCCUAGCUCCUCUAGCUUUCUCUCUUUCUUGUAGGGAUAAAUAAUUGCCCUCCGUAGUUGAUUUAAUCCCCUACUUAAGGUAGGCUUAAAUAUGUUUUGAAGGCGAUUUAUUUUACUUUCCUAGAAAAAUCUAAUUCCAAGUCCAAGUGGGAAAAGUUGGAGAUCUCUACACCUACUGUCUUUUCCUAUGAGUAGGCCAGCAGGUGUGGGGGCAUUUGUGGAGCCAAAAAUAAUCAAGAAAAAUAUGUAGGUGACACGCAGACUUUUGGGUUAAAAUGAAAAAAUUACCCUCGAGGCACACCGGGAUUCCCACGUGCAUGCAACGAACAAUAACGGCUCAAUCAAGGAAGAGUCAAAGAUGAUCAAAAUGGUAUUUAUUCAAAUCCCUCUCAUCACUCCUCAUCAAAUCCUUAUUCAAAAGGUAACUCCCAAAACUUCCUAUUUAAUUUGGGAUUAAUUACCAUGUUAAUUGCAAGAUAUUAUUUCACAUAAUAUCUUGCAAUUAGUCUCCAAUUACACCAUAUAUGGCCAGCCACUAUUCUCCAAAUAGGGUCAGCCACUCCCCUAUAUAUAGCCCUAUUAUUCCACUAAAAAGCUAAGCCAUUUGCUACCCACAAACUCCUAAACACAAAAAUUCAUCAUGGGCGCGUGAGGCUGUUGGCCUUAAUGUUAGGUGUUAUUACUUUGCAGGUGCAUUUUCUUCAAGGGAGAAGAUGGCGGAAAUUUGUAUCCACAACUAAGAUUUAAAAAACCAAAAAGACCCUGCAAUUAAAAGAAACCAAUUAUCAACUUUUCCAUCAGCAAGUAGUUGUAAAUUGCUUGUCUUGAUUCGAAGAAUUACAGAAAUAUUGUUGUAGCUAGUUCACUUUUUCACAUUACCAACUUUUACAUCGUGAGUUCUAAACUUAAAACAUGAUAGAAAAUAAACUAAAGAAAAUGAAAUUUCAACAUACCUAUCAAAACAUUUUUAAUCAUCUUCAAGAGCCACAACAUCAUUAGUGG
rnacentral:lncRNA from 1 species